ensembl:ncRNA F08F1.18 ncRNA
UGCAGGAGUAUCAAUUUUUCCGGUUUUGAAUGUUCUUUUUUUUCUAAAUCUCGUGCACUGUGAAAUGGUGAAGAUGGAAGUAGAGAGAAGCAUAUGAAGAAGAAGAAGCUACCGGACGACAGACAUGUUUGUCAGAAGACUUACCGACGGAAGACGUUGGGGCAACAAUUGGGUGCGCGGAAAAGAGCUCGGCUUAUUUGGAGAGUAACAGACACUGAAAUGAGUUUGUGUCGGGUUCGGAAAAACGAUGCGAAGAGUGAGAAAGAGGUGGUCAACUAUCUCA